ACAAACCCGAGGGCAUUGAUCUCCUGCUUAAACUCUUCAAUAGUUUUCCAUUGCACUUAGGGAAAAAAAAAAUUUUAAACCCUCUUUAUUGUGAACUCCGGGCCUGCGUGAUCCAACCCUGUGUUUCCAGUCCUCAUCUUGUACAGUUUAUCUCUGCCCACUCUACUGUUGGCACACUAAUCCUAUUUCAGUUUAAUUAAUAUGCUAAAGAGCUUUCCUGCCUCAGGCUCUCACACAUGCUGGUUCCUCUCAGGGGAUAAUGAGAGUGACAUUACAAUGACAGCUCAUAUUUAUUCUGCUCCUACUGUGUGCCAUGCACUGUUCCCAGUUCCCUGCAAACACUAACACCUGCAGGCCAUGCAGCAGUUGUAGAGUUAGGUAACAUUGCUCUCCACAGUUCACAGUUCAGGAAACAAAGGCUCAGAGAGGUCAAUCCAGCUGCCCAAAGUCUCACUGCUUGGAACUGGUGAAAUUAGGAAGAGCUUUCCCCUUUCUUCAUAUAGCCACAUACAAGAGCCUCAGCAGAUUCUGCCUAUCUUUGGGCAGGUCUCUCCUACCUGUGGGGUCUCACUGUUGGUUUAUUUCGGCUCCCAGUCUGUAUCCUAUAAUACAGCUUACUGUUACUACUUUUAUCUUCUUCCCUGUCUCUUCCACACUAAAAUGGAAGCUUCAUGAAGGCAGAAACUUAGUGUAUUAGCAUCAAUGUGAUAAAUAUUUCCAAGCAAAACAUGAUGAAGCGAACACCUCCUCAACAUCCAGCACACUGUCUUGCACAUGAUAACCACUCAAUAAAGGUUUGCUGAAUUUAUAGAGAGAGAGAGGAGAGAGAGAGAGAGAAGACAUUUCAUUCAGACCAACACCCAACCAUAUUGUCACCUGCCCAUGGGCCUCUUCAUACCCUGACUGGAGAGUUCAAAUGCAUGGUGCUGGCACCUGGAGAAGGCCCCCCUGGCUGCGUGGCAACAUGGCGGACAAGUGGAAAGGGAAAUGGCUGACUAUGAGGAAGAACCCGGAGGAGGUGCCAGUUCACCUAUGACAGGCCAUUCUGUCAGGAACUAAUCCAGUCCCACAAGACCUGACCCACUCCCACAAGCCGGCCUUAAUCCAAUCUUGAGGGUAGAGUUCCCAUGAUGCACUUGCCUUUCUCUCUCUUGAAGGUUCCACCACCUCCCCACUGCACCACUGGAGACCAAGCCUACAGCACACCCAAGCCAACAUCGAGCUCAGCAUUUCCAACCCUGAGCUCAGCUUUUCAACGCUUGCUACCUUUUCUAUUUUCCCAGUAUCUUGAUAAAUGCACCACUCUCCAUUGAUAAAUGCACGAGAAACUCAGGACUCCAUGACUACUCUACAUUUCACCCUAUGCAUAUACUCACAUCCCAGACUCUCUCCUUUUCAUUUCCAAGGUCUUCCUCCAUUUUUAUUUAUAA